rnacentral:rRNA from 1 species
GUCCUAGCCCUAAACGAUGGGUACUAGGUUGUAGACUAACAUGGGUUUACAACCGAAGCAAAAGUGUUAAGUACCCCGCCUGGGGAGUAUGGUCGCAAGGCUGAAACUCAAAGGAAUUGACGGGGGCUCACACAAGCGGUGGAGCAUGUGGCUUAAUUCGAGGCUACGCGAAGAACCUUAUCCUAGGCUUGACAUGUGCGAAAGCGGUAGGAAGUAGCUGCCGGAAACGGCCAGCCAACGGUAUCCAGUCCGGAACCUACUACAGGUGCUGCAUGGCUGUCGU